GUCUGCAACCCGACUCCACGAAGCUGGAUUCGCUAGUAAUCGCGCAUCAGCCACGGCGCGGUGAAUACGUUCCCGGGCCUUGUACACACCGCCCGUCAAGCCAUGGGAGCCGGGGGUACCUGAAGUGCGUAACCGCGAGGAGCGCCCUAGGGUAAAACUGGUGACUGGGGCUAAGUCGUAACAAGGUAGCCGUACCGGAAGGUGCGGCUGGAACACCUCCUUU
rnacentral:rRNA from 1 species